rnacentral:rRNA from 1 species
CAGUCGCCGCGGUAAUACAGAGGGUGCGAGCGUUAAUCGGAUUUACUGGGCGUAAAGCGUGCGUAGGCGGCUUUUUAAGUCGGAUGUGAAAUCCCUGAGCUUAACUUAGGAAUUGCAUUCGAUACUGGGAAGCUAGAGUAUGGGAGAGGAUGGUAGAAUUCCAGGUGUAGCGGUGAAAUGCGUAGAGAUCUGGAGGAAUACCGAUGGCGAAGGCAGCCAUCUGGCCUAAUACUGACGCUGAGGUACGAAAGCAUGGGGAGCAAACAGGAUUAGAUACCCCCAGUAGUCCCUGUCUCUUAUA